AUGAUAUCUGUGUUCUUCCUGGAUGGCCAAAUUCAUUUAAAUGUGAUGUGCUGUGAAACAUUUGAGGGUGUUUUUUUUGUUGUUGUUGUUUUCUGUUUCUUAUAUGUUUCUAUCUCAUUAUAAUUCUAAUUUUUGUUUCUGUCUCACUAAAUGACAUAAUUUCAAUAAGACUGAUUUGGCCACUCUGGGAAACACUUGUCUUGAACUAAUUGUUUAUUUGUAAGUCUCUUUAGAAAAGGAAGGAGAUAAGACUUCUCAGGCCCCAAUGGACAGCAAUAUUUAUUAGUACACAGAACUCUCCAAAUAAAAUCCUGGUUAAAAAAUUGCUUUGUUGAAAACCAUCCUUGGCCAAACCUAACAAGCAAUUUGACAAAUUUAAGCAAUAACAAACUAGAUUCAUUUCCUUGGUGAAUCCUUCCCCUACUUGUGCUCCAAGUCUUUCUAUACUGAGCUGUCUAUAUUGAGUCUUUCUAGAUUGUCUUUCUAUAUUGAGCUCUCCUGCUUCCCGCUAUCCUCUAAUUUGUCUUUUUUCCACAGCUCUACUCCCCUUCCCCUUGUCUUGACCCUCCACCUUUUCCAACAACUCUUCUAAGAUCUCCCAAUGCCAGUUGCCUCUAAAGAUUCAUCCUCCCAUGAGCCAGGUAGCAGGCAGAAGUAGAAUUUAAAUCUUGUAUCUCAGUUGAAUUAAGACUGGUAAUUAAGAAUUUCCCUGAAUCCAGAUAAAAUCAACCACUAUUCAUAGAAUAAUUUGGAAUGUUUUCGCUGUCUAUAACCCAGUGUUAUCUGAAGUUGUGAUCAACUUCUACACAUGUUGAUCAGAACCUCAGAAACCAAAUCCUGAACAUAAAAGCUGAUUGAAUUGACCUGGAAAGAGAUAGUUGUGAUCCCUCUUUUCAAAAUAUACUUGAAGAUCAAAAAAAUUUCAAAAGGUAGAGCAGAGACUCUUAAAAACUGCACCCAAACAUUUCUAAUGAAAAUUGAUUGGAACAUAAUUAAAUCCUGUAAACAAAGAGAAAAUGAAACUGUAGAAUAUUUUGGGAUAAAUUAGGAAAUAAUUUCUACCUUUUGGUGUUAAAGAAGCUGCUGGUAUAAAAGUGGUCCUUUCAUCUUACUUUGUCAAUAAAAUUAAACCUGAAGUGUGAAACCUAAUUUUGAAAAACAGGAUUAAAAUGAGAAAUAGCCCUUUUAUCUGAACUACAAUACUCAAAAAAACAUUUUAAAGGAACUUUAGAACAAAAAUCAGACAGGACCCAAAAUAAACAUAUUGUUGUACAGAUCAAAUAGCUAGGUGGCCUACUUCUGAACCAACCACUUAUUGAGCAGGACACUUGUAGCUAUUGUAAACAGGAGGAACACUGGAACAAAAAAGAUUCUCUCAUAUUACAAAAGAGAAACCAGGAUGAAAAAAGUCUUUUUAUAGAUCAAAGAGGGUACUUCAGGAAAGGAAAAGAACUCAGAUCCUGCCUUACACUUAAACACUCAAGGUGAGUUAACUAUAAACAUAGAUGGUCAAACUUAUCAGUCUCUGAUUUAUAAAGGUGUAACCCUUUUUAUAUAAAUACUGCUAUCUUUGUUCCCCUUCUUACUCAGAGUAAACAUACCACACUGGGUAUAGGUAUUUCAAAUAACCAACAGAUUUUCUCUGUCUCCUAACCAUUAGCUGUCACCCUCCAGUCCAUGAGUAAAUGUAUUUCUUCCUGCUCUGUGGUAUCAUACCUAAAAAUUUAAUAAGGAAUGGCUUAAGUUGUAAAUGAAAUUGCACAUUUACACCAGGACUAUUUCUUACAUUUUAGACUCAGGACUCCUCUACUCAUAAUCAAAUUGUUUUCUUUGUACAUAUUUUUGUCUUCACUAUUAUAUUUGAUACAUUUCCCAAAGAUCUUGACAUCAUAUCUGAUACACUAGGUGCUAAAAAUUUCACUGACAUAGAAAAAAUCCCCAGAAGGGAUCAAGUCUGUAAUGGAAGUUUGUAUACCUGAAGACUUACUUUAUCAUGCACUGCAUUAGUUCUUGUUACUUUCCUGUCCUUUCAGAAAAUAAGGGUAAGAAUUAUAGCAAAUAGUGGAGGAAAACUAUUUGUUCUAGUGAAGAAACCAAAUGAAUGAAGAAAUCAACCUGUUCAUGACCACAGGGCCACCAACAAAAUUAUAAUGCUUCUCUUCCCCAUAGUAUGAAAGCCAAAUGCCAUCUUAUCAUCAAUUCGGCCUGAAGCUAUCUCAACUGUACAGAUCUUUUCUCUGUCUUUGUUCCGUGUGCCUUUAGACUAGGAGAGUCACUAACUUUUUGCCUUCAUCUGGGGAAGACAACAAUAUAGCUAAAUGGUUGUGCCCGGGGGUCCACUGAAGGCCCCUGCUAUUUUUCCCAGGUCCUCAAUCAAAACUUAAAAGAUCUGAAUUUCCUUUGAUUUAGUUAUCAUACCAUGUGUAAAUGAUCUUCUACUUUCUUCAGAUAACAGGUACAGAGAACAAUUUGUAACAUGAAUUUCAUUUACUUGCUCUUGGCGUUAGCCUUAGCUAACAAAGGAAGCAUAUAUUUCAAAAAAAAAAAAGUAAAAUUUCACCC
ensembl:lncRNA